UACAUGUACUGUAUAGCAAGGUUCUCCAUGUGUCCCACUCUGUGUUGUGCAGACUUGGCUUCCAAUGCCUCUGUUCUUCUGGUCCUGAGUGUUUCAAGAGUGAAGUCUGUUAACCAUGCCAGAUUGUCAUUCAUUACACAUUAAGACAAAUGUCCACCAAAAAUUAGGAUAAAACUACACAACCCAGCCUUCUCAAACUGACAGAAUGUUUGAACACUUGCUUUCAAGGAGGAAAGCAGCUGCAUGGCUGUGUUAUUCCACUGAAACUUGUUUUGUUAAAUUACUGUAUUAAGGCAAGUAAAUAAAAGUCACUUCCAGAUUUCAUUUUCAGAGGCAAAAUAUAAUGCCAUAGUAUUUUCUCAGUCUAUCAGGCGGCAAACGGUCCUGGUAUAUCAGGCAUAAGAGAGGCCAGUUUGUCACUAAAGAAAUAAAAUAAAUAACUUUCUGAAGUGCUUGAGCUAGUUUAAAAUUUUUGAAGCUAUCUAUUGAUAUAUUUCAGAUCACAUGUACUAGACAGAAGCUUAAUUCCCCUGUCCUCCAAAGCUUGUUUGAUCAAUAAACUGAACCAAAUUACUCUUAACAAAUCACAAAUAACUAGCAAUAAGUGAUUUUUAUAAACUUUAGUCUGCAUUUAAUCAAACAGCUUCUUACUCUGCUUUUAAUUUGUGGUGCUUUCAAAACCCAAUUCCUUUAGGACUCAAAAGUCAGAGUGUAAGAAAUUGACUUUUGCUAAUUUACUUUUUUUGUCAAUUUAUUUUUGUACACUUCAUUAAGUAGUCUUCUUCCAGUAACCUAUAUCCUUCUGGCCCUACUACAGUAUUGAUCUUAUGCUCUUCUUUAUUCCAGAAAAAUCUUACUUAGAUAAAAUUUAUACUUUCUCACACUACCAGCUGUGUAGCCCAAAUAAAACAAUUAACAUAUACAUUAGUAGGCAUACUUAGUUUUAAGAACAUGAGCAACUUUCACUUACUCUGAUCAGUUGAGUUAUAAAUUCAUACAGUUUACUUGAUGGUACCAUAUAAAUACAACUAAAAUACUAAUAUACAAGUACAAUAAUAAUAAAUAACACAAUUAUCAUUGCAUAACUAUGAAAUAAAUCCAGACUCAAUGUGAAAUGACUUCUAGACUUCUAAAUCCCACUGCAGUCAAUCCAGCUGAGACUGCUUAUUUUUCAGCUUUUUAAGUAGCUGUCACAGCCCAAAAGAGAAAGGAAGCUACCUAACCUAAGGGUACUUAACAAUCAUAAAAUAUCAUGGAUGUAGGAUUCUGUGAUAUUAAAAACACAAAGGCUUUGUUCACUAAAUAUUUCUGUUUAUUAGAAAUCAACACAAUUCACCACUAGUGAAAUACUGUAACAUGAUAGAAAGUACAGCAAUAACAGCAGAGUGGCACAACCCCAGGCUACAGCAAACAAGAAGAAGCCCAGAUACAGCAGCCACAGAAAUGAAGAAAAACCACUUACCUUCAGAAGGCCUCAGAUAGGGAAAGAUCUCCAGCAAAACACUCUCACCUCCACUUCCAACCCUUAAAUGAGGUCUGGGAAGGGGUGGAGCCAGGAUGCACUCCUUCUGGUUACUCAGGUUCAUUGCAUGCACCUGAGUUCCUCUGGGUUGGUCCUGCUUUCCCACCAGGUACUCAGUCACUGUUUCAGACCAUGACUUAGCAUUUCUGUUACAACUAGCAAGAAUAUUACAACAGUAAAAAUGCAAACUUGUCAAGACUAGACUUAUGACAGAUUAUAUACAUACAUAUUCAUAGAAUUACUGUUACCAAUUGCAUCAAACAGAUCCCAGAAGGGGGAAAGAAUGUAGUGUGUGUGUCAAUAAAACAAUCUCCAAGAGAAAAUCAAAUACCAAAAAGACAAAAAAUAAUUACCAAAAAGAAAACCAACCACCACAAGAGUAAAAAAUGAAGCAACUGCCACAAAGAAAAAUGACUGCCAAAUGUUCAAAAUAAAACAGUUAUCAAAAGAAAACAGUCUGUCCACAGAAAAAGGCUCAAAAGGAGUAUAAAGUGGAGUCUCACUUCAACACUGAUCAGUAUCACCAGGCAUGGAGUGUUAGAGUUUUGGAGUCAAUGCUGUCAAGGCACAUGGUCAAACCAAAGUUUCAGUGAAACUUCAGCCUGUUUAAGGAAAAAAAAAAGAAACCAGGACAAAGAAACAGAACAUAGAACACUGGAAGUUUCUCAGAAGGAAGCUCCAUCUUGUGCAAAAAUCGUCAUUUUAGUAGGACACCACUGCUUAGGUAAAAAAUUGGUCCUGUUAGUUUAGGUCCUCUUCCUGAUACAGUCUAUAGAUAAUAUUUCUUAUUUCAUCUAAAGUUUAUUCCUCACACUGAUCUCCCCUUCCUUAGGUGAUAAAACAUUCCUCCCUUCCUCUAUUUGGUCUUAACAAUGGAGUAGUAUGUUCAGGGUACCAUCCAUAAGAGAUGUUCAGUCGUACCUCAAGGUUUCUAGCUCUCAGGUUCAGCUUUCUAGUUGGCAGACUUUUCCUUAACACAUUUUAGCAGCUAUUUUAUGUCAAGACUUUCUUAUUGCAAUCAGUCUUAUUACCUCUACAACUGCUCCAAUCAACAGAAAAAACAGUGAGCCACACUGAUUCACUUCAAAAAUUUCUGAACGUCUAGUCUUGUUACAUUAUGAGUUGUGCAUGAAUUUACUUGAAGAUGCCACUCAAUAAAUAAAUAAUUAAAAUAAAAUAUUUAACUUCCAAGAGGUAUUUUUUCCUCAUUCAACUCAUUAGGAUACUUACAUAGCUUCUGCAGCCAGCAUUUAAUUCUUUGGCAAGACUGUUGUCUUUACUUGUUAUUUCACUGAUGAUUAUGAAAAUUUUUCUGAAAUAUUUUCUCAAGGUAGAGACUUAUUUAGACAACUGGGGUUUCAAAACUCUAUGUAUGAAAUAACCAUUUAAAUAUUUAACAGAGAUGUGUUAUCAAAAAUCAUGCAACCAUAGCCGCCUUCAUGAUACAAAGUGUUUAAAUUUCAGAAGUACAUUUAGAAGACAAAUGUAGACUAGUUAAGAAUUAAAACAAACCACAAUAGUCUCCAAGGCAGAUACUAAUUCCUAAUCCAAGCUUUGAAAAGGCCUGUGAUAUCCUAACAAAUCUGAUCGUAAUAAGAUGCUCAAACUUCUGAAGAACUGUAGGCCUUAAAUUCCAAAAUUUGUAGUAAGCAGAACUAAAAAAUAAAGAACUUUCCAAGUCUACAGCUGCAAUGACAGAACAUAGCCAGAAAGGUAUCAUUCAGAUCCUAAAGAUGCUUAGAGUCUUUCUGGAAACUAGAAAUAAAAGGAAUUCAGAGACCUUUUCUUCUUUUUUUGUGCUAAUGAUACAGUGAGCAGAAAGGUACAGUAAUAUAAGAAUGGCCGUAUGUUAAAUACAAAAAGGUAUCAACUCUAGAUAAACUAAGCAAAGUAGCAUUCUAGAUAUCGGUACUGUAUAAGUUGUAUUCUGUGUAUGUGAAAAAAAGUCAUAACAAAAUUACAGAAAAUACAUUGUUUAAAACCAAGUGUCAUUCCACCAAGAUAAUCCUGAUCUACUAUAACUUCAGACAGACUUUUUUUCAGGAUGCAGGAGAACAUCCUAUUUAAGUAUCUCAAAUCUGCACAGCUUUAAAGUUUUGGAUUUUUUAAAUAAUAAAAGAGGGUUUAAAGUCAAAUAUUUAGUGGAAACAGUGCUGGGAGACGCCUUUUGCAUGAAGGAGUAAGCAGAAAAUGCCUCACAAAGCCCUCUACCCAUGGCAUCUUUAAUUGCUUUCUGAAUGGGCCUGCCUUAAGCUUAAAGUUGUUGAAUCAGAGGUUCUAGGAUUCUUACAAGCUUUUAUUAUAAAAGAAGAAAAGAAAAAAAAGAAAUCUUAUUGGAACAUGUAGCUUAAGCUCGUUGAUUCAUCUUGCCUUUAUAGGCGCUUUACUCACAAAGGUAAUUAUUCCAUUGCGCUCUUCAAAGUUUUGUAGCAAUUUUAAUACUGAUAGCUAAAAGCAUACUUUAGGACAAUGAACUACACCCUAGGAACAGCAUGAAACUCUUACAAACUAUACAGAAAUAUUUCAGAUAUUCUGAAAUUGCAAAACAAAGUGAAAUCCAACACAUAGCCUUUUUCAUUUAAUCAGAUGUACCUCUUUUCAAAAUGCCACUAAAAUUGUGGAACCUUUCCCACUUUGUACAAAAGAAUCACAUUAUUUAUUCUGGUAGAAAAAUUAAGAAUAUUCAGGUCAUUCAGUAGCAAUUUAGGGCUUCGACAAUCUCGGAAAUCAUUCUCAUGAGUCCUAAUGGGAAAGAUUUGACAGCUGAAAUGUAGUCUUCAAUCUGAUUGUAACUAUCUGCUGCAUCACAUACAUCUAUUGGAAAAGCAAAAGGCCCAGUUUCCUGCUUUUGCUUCAAUUCAGUUAGCAUCAGGAAGCAAAGAUAAGGAUGAAAUGUUGCUGAAUAGAAGACUGUCUCCUGUAAGCAUAUAUUCCAAAAACUACAUUACCAAGAAGUUAGUUAACAGAAUCCUGAUUCGAUAGAAUUCAGGGCCAGAAUUCAUUAGGAUAAGGGUUUCAACUAUUGUGUUUCCUGAAAUGUAAAGAAACAUUUUAAUGACUUUUAGUUAUGUCGCUCUUGUACUAAUGCUAUGCAAGCUGAAGACAGUAAAAUAAAAUUAACUAAACAGGCAUUGGAAUAAAAAAAGAAACACCCAACUGCAUUACAUUUAGAGGGGAUCUGGUACUGCUAAUAUAGGAAAAACAAGGGAAUUUCUUAGGACAAAAUUUUCACAGGUAUUGUUAGGACAAUAUACAAUAUGGUUCCUCAAGUAAGUCUGAGUAAGGCUGAAGAAUUCAUAUUGUCUUUUAUGUGAAAUAAAGACUGCGAAUGAAAAUAUAUAUGCAUUGUUAGAUGCAUGUAUGUGUAUACACGUGCAUAUUACACACUAUAGUGUUACUCAACAAAAAUAGUGCAAAAUAAUUUCUGACUUGGUAAUGUAGAACUAGUAUCAGUGUUUAUUGAUCUGUGGUUAUCCUCAGAUAUGAAGUAUACAUAUACAUAAUGCAUUUAUAGUUCCUCCUAGUGCACUGUCAAUAAUAAGAAGAUUUUAAAAAGAAAUUUAAAAAGUAUUCUACGGUUUGUAUAUGUCUACAGACUGAAUGAAAUGAAGUCAGAAAACACACCUGUAUGGAAAAAUUUGUAUUGAAAAAACGGCUUACAAUUUUGUAGCAGGUAUUAACAGAAUUUAUGUGUUAAAUUCAUCUGAUGUGGGAUAUAAUUUGAUACUUAGCUAGUCACUGUAAGCUGUUUUUAUAGGUAAUAGAGUAUUAUGAUUAUAGGUAUGACUCAGUCCAUCAUGUUCUACUGUAAGUAUCCAAAAUAAGUUAAAUUAAUCACUUUAUUUACCUUUCCAUUGUAUGUAUUUCUGCAAAAGAAAUUUAGAUUGCACAGACAAUCAUGCUCAUUUUCAGAAUAUCAAUAGUAAUAACAUGUCCUCUGGCCACAUGCAUUUUGUUAAAAAUAAAACAACAAACAAGGACAACAACAAAAAAAGACUGAUUGGGAAAGUACUAACAAUGUAUAGAAAUUAUUUUUGGCACUUGUCAAAAAAUGCCUUUCAGAAGCAGAAUAUUCUAAAGAAUAAGAAAUUUUCAGCAGAAGAGAGAUUUUACUUAAAGUCCCUUGCUAAAUACAUUCAUCAGCUUCUUGUUUGUAACUCUAGGGCCUCUACUGCAAGAGCAUUUCUAAUUCAUUCUCACUUGCGGAGCCCUGUUUUUUCAACUUCCUCAGAAUGCAAUGUUAUCUAAUGUUAUUUCAUGCUGAGAUGAAACACUGACUGUAUCAGAAAGGCUAAUUGCUGAGAAAGAAGAAUAAACAUAUUGUGUACAUCUAAUAGUGCAACGUCUUCAAUAGGGAUAUGCUGAGCUGGUGAAUUUGCAUCAUCUAUCUCCAAUGAAUUAUCUCAUGCAGUAUUGGUUCCAGCAAAUUGUGGUAUGUGAAAAGAAGCAAAGGCUGUGCAAAAAGUUUAAUCUAUACACUGAAUCUGGAAAAUUUAUUCUUACUUACAAAAAAUAAACAAAUAAACCCAAAAUUUUGUUAAGUUGGUCUUUGUUAGGAUUCACCCUACAUUUUUGCUUGAGUUUGAAACACAGUCUUGACUACAAAUACAAGGGAAUCAGUGCUCUGAUCUGACCAGAAGUUUUUAUCUGCUAUCCUGUUUUGGGCUAAGAUAAUACUAAGUUAUACCAAAAAUGCAUAUGAAGGUUUUAACUGUCAAGGAUUAUUCCACAGUCAUUUUCCAGAGCCUUCAACCUAGACUUUAACUUUGUGACCAUGACAAUGAUAUGGGAAUCUUUCAUAUUCAAGCAUUACAGCUUUCUAGAAGUGAGAGCAUUUGAACUGUUGAAAGGAUCCCCAAGAUCAUAUGUGGUAAUUAGACAGCAGAAUCUCUGAUUAUUCAUGUAGCUUAUAUAUAGGAGGUUGUACUGAAAGAACCUGUUGAAAAAGAUGAGAUAAAGUAAGGUUCCAAACUGAUGCGUAAAUUUCUGAUAAUUUACACAAGUGACAUGAAAAUACCGUGAACAGGACAUCAGGAAAAGUUUCAACGUUCUGUCAUACUCCUGCACAUUAUUUUCAUUCAUUUUUUGGACAGGUUGAUUUUCUUUCAUACAUAUUUGGAAACAUACCAUUUGAAUUUAAAGCACUCUAUUCAAUCUCUUUCAAAAAGGUGUUGGCUAGGAUAUGAGCACUUGCUUGCUCUUCCUGUCUAUAUGGGUGCUAAUAGAGGUCAUUACUGAAAAAAUCUGAACUCCUUUCAAAGAAAAGAGCUCUGUAUAGUAGUGAAUGAAGUCUGAUUAUUAGGUCUCAAUGGCAGUUUUUACUGCAAAUUAUUAUUUUUAUAAAAUAA
ensembl:lncRNA